AAUAACAAUACGGGGCUUAAUGUCUUGUAAUUGGAAUGAUGGGAAUUUAAACCUCUUCCAGAGUAUCAAUUGGAGGGCAAGUCUGGUGCCAGCAGCCGCGGUAAUUCCAGCUCCAAUAGCGUAUAUUAAAAUUGUUGCAGUUAAAAAGCUCGUAGUUGAAUUUCUGCUGCAUUUCAUUUCUCUUUCUGAGUUUGUUUUUGCGGCUUAUUUCGGUUUGAUUUUUUCUUUCCGGAUGAUUACUUUGAGAAAAUUAGAGUGCUCAAAGCAGGCUUUUGCCUUGAAUAGUUUAGCAUGGAAUAAUAAAGUAGGACUUUGGUUCUAUUUUGUUGGUUUUAGGUACCAAAGUAAUGGUUAAUAGGAACAGUUGGGGGCAUUCGUAUUUAACUGUCAGAGGUGAAAUUCUUAG
rnacentral:rRNA from 1 species